rnacentral:rRNA from 1 species
AUGCAGUUUUUGGUAGGAGAAUACACAAUUGACAUGGUUUGCAUCAUCCACAGGAUGAUCCAGUCUUGUACUUACACAAUAGAGGUCAAGGUUUGUGGCAGUGAAUCAAAAAUCAAUGGGGAUUCAACAUUUAGUUGGCAGAUUAUUGAGGGUACUAGGACAAGUAUGAAGGAUUUGCUGGCUUGUAUUGCUGGAACUUCUUCUUUUGCUUUAUGCUCAGAGGAUAAUAUAAUUCUUGAGUAUGUUGAUUCCAUUAGUGGCAAAAAUAUCUCUGUGUCAAAUGAUGAAGAAUGCAUGAAAAUGUUUGACUGUUUUGAGAAGAAUAGAAGUGGCCAUUUGAUCAUCAAAUAUUCUGAGAGAGGUGAUAAUGUUGAUGUUCCAUGUACUCCUUCGAACCAGACACCAUCUAUAGCACUACCUAGUCAACCAAGUAAUGUCAUGGAUGAAGCUAGUGUAUGCCUAACAGAUACAUAUCUUAACAAUCCCCAUGAAGAAUAUGAACAUGUUGGUGUAGAUGAGGAGGACCAAUACUCAAUUGGCAGUGUCGGUUCCGAUAGUGAUGAUGAGGUCAGAGAAAAAGAUAUACCAAAUACUGAUUAUGUUGAGGAUAGCAGCGAUGAUGAGGAAUGGGUUGCAGAAGAUGCUAGACCGGAUGCUAUUCCAGAAAUUGCCUAUGACAAAGAAAACCCGCCAAUGCAUGUUGGCGCAAAGUACCCCAACAUUGAAGAGCUUAGGUUGGCAAUUGCUACAUACGCUGUGAAGAAAGAGUUCGAAUUUAAGGUUGAAAAAAGUGAACCUACUCGAUUCAGG